AUUGGUACAAUUGAUGGAACACAUAUACGUGUUAAAGUUUCACAAAGUGAAGCACCAAAAUAUCAUGGGAGAAAAGAUUAUCCAACACAAAAUGUACUAGCUGCAUGCAAAUUUGAUUUAAAAUUCACAUACGUGUUAGCUAGGUGGGAAGGUACAGUAUCUGGUUCAAGAAUCAUGAAAGAAGCACUAAAUAGACAAGAAGAUCCACUAAAAUUCCUAAAGAAAAAUUCUACCUUGUUGAUGCUGGACUCAUGUUGAGAAGUGGGCUUAUUACGCCUUAUCUGAGAGAGCGAUAUCAUUUGAAAGAGUAUUCAAGAAAUCCACCCCAAAAUUCUCGUGAAUUAUGUAAUUUGCGACAAGCUUCUUUGCGUAAUGCUAUUGAACGAGCAUUUGGAAUUCUUAAAAAGAGAUUUCCUAUAAUUUCUAGUUCAACAGAGUCAUCAUAUGGUGUUGAAACGCAAAAGCUUAUUAUAUUUGCAUGUUGUAUUUUACAUAAUUAUUUAAGAGGGGUAGAUCCAAACAAUUACUUACUUGCUCAAGUUGAUGCGGAACUUAUAAAUAAUAAUGAUGUGCAAGAAGAAGUUCCGAAUCCCAGGGAGAACAAUGAAGAAUUUAGAAGAGGAGAGUUGAUUCGAGAUGGCAUAGCAGUUGCAAUGUGGAAUAAUUAUCAAAACUAAUUUUCUAGGAGAAAAAUUUAAAUAAAUUUUUGUGUCAAAUUUAUUUAUUUUA